rnacentral:lncRNA from 1 species
GGCUCAAGAUGAUCUCCGGAUCACUGGACCAUCAAAGCGUAUGGCUCUUCCUGAUCACCGGUUCACUCAGCAAUCAAUGCACUUGCCAUCUACGAACUCCAGGCCCACCACGGCCGGCGGUUCAACCACUCCAACAUGUCCGAUCAACUAUGACAGUUUGCUGACUCCGGUCUGAUCCGGUCUUAUUCUCCACAACGCCAUUUAUGAGCAUGAUCGUGCCCAAUUAUCACGAAAAAGACAAUUUACCCUGUCACCUAUCAGGUAACAUAAUAUCCUUCUAUAAA